CAGCCAUUCUAGACUGACACGCCACAGCAGCUGGAAGAAAGACACGAUCUUUUCCUCUGAUGCCUCUCUCAGAAGCAUUCCAGUUUAUGUCUUCCUCUUGCCUAUUUGAGGACUAAAGUCAAAAUGUCUAUACCAUCCUGUACAGCCACAUAUGGGUCUUGAGCACUUGAAAAGUGACUGGUCCAGCUUCACAUGUGCUCACUGUACCAGCCUCUGGAGGAAAUGCAAGAGACCUUCCAGACCUGAUCACCACACCCUAUUCAUAAUCUCGCCAUGGAGAAGAGACAUCCACUUAUGAAGCCAGCAGAACAGAUGUGGGCAACUUUCAAAAACGAAGUAACAAAUGGUCAGCUCCUGUUCUUCUGUAGUGCUGAGGAUGGAAGGAGAAAGAGAGUGUGGAGUGCUUCAUCUGGACAUCCACGGGAAGAAGGAAGACAUGAGGGAAUGCUGGAAGAGGAGACAGGCCCCAGAUUUGGGCAGGAAGUAAACAGUUUUCAGGCUGAGGCCAAUCUGAGCAGGAACAUUCCAAUAUUUCUUCAGCUACGUUGUCCCAGCACUUCACUGGUUAACCUUUUAUGUCCACCAUUUGUGGAUUUCACAGCUACUUGUCAAUGGUGAAUAUUGAUCAUCAUCAUUAUCUACUGAGCUGCUACCAUAUCCCAGCUACUCCUUGCAUGUUGUUCAUUAUUUUCUCAACACUCAGCAUAUUUGCAAUAUGUUAUGUAAUAUCACAGACAAGGAAACUGAACGCAGAAAUGUUUUAUUUCUUGCCAAACAUCACAUGAGGAUGAACAAUGAAACCGAUUUGAAACCAGGAUUGUCUGAUUCCAACAUCUCUGGGUCCUUUUUCACUCUGAUAUGCUGCAAUUAAAAAGCCAUUUCUAAGACUGUACGUUCC
rnacentral:lncRNA from 1 species